GGGGAUGAAAGGCUUCGACGGGCGAGGCUGAUCCCGGAAUGCGUGCCGAGAGGUACCGACCUCGUUAACUCAGUACAAACCUUUAAGUGCCAAUCGCACAAACACCUACGCAGCUCUUCCUCUCGCCGCCUAGCGUCGAAGGAUCCUGCGCCUGACACCUCGGUGUCACGUCUGUCUGCUCCGCUCUCUUACCGGUAGCAGAACAGGCGUCACAAAGUAAGAGUGCCGCAAUUCAAGCCGCGAGGAUUGCGAAAGAGGGCUUUCGGGCCUGAGCGGAUGGUCAACAUCGGGUUCUGUGACUCUUCCUGACGCUGACGACACUCAAGAGGCUCUACGCAUGUAGAUUUCCGAGGGUUGAAUCGUUCGGACGCGGGUUCAAUUCCCGCCAUCUCCACCU
rnacentral:tmRNA from 1 species